AUGUUCGUUUUCUCACUUUUCCCCAUAUCUUCCCACUCAAUAAAUCUCGAAUUUCGCUUUCCUCUAAGCCGGAUUGAAAGCUUGUGCCAAUUUCCGCUUGUCUUCGGAUGAUCUUUUACUCAGUUAGAAUCGAGUUUUUGUUGUGAAUAACCGAAAUAGAUAUUUCAAUGGUACUCUAGUUGGAUUUAUGUAAAAAUUUAAGUAUAUUGGUUUUCAUUUAUAUUUGAUUUUUGUAAAUGUUGAAUACCGUAUUUUUUAUAUUAAUAUUGCACCCAAAUACAUCUUCAAGAGCCUUCUUAAGAGUAUUUUAAAUUUUAGCUUUAAAUCAUUUUCAAAUGUUUUUUAUGGUUCCACAUAUUUCUUCCCGCACUGAAGCAUUAAAUUUUUGAAGUGAGAAACUAGUAAUCUUCAACUGAAUGUAAUCCUCCAAAAUAUAGUUUUGCAGUCUAUACUGUAUUUUAUUUUCUAUCCGCCUAAAUAAAUUGAAGAUAGAAAUACAACUCAUCGUACUAAAACAUUUCCUAUCAACCUGGCAACCUGUUUAUUGAUCGUAACUAAUCAACUUUUGUAAUAAUUAUCUAAUAGUUUGAUGAUUUGUUUGUGUUCAUCAAUGUACUGUAAUGAACCACCUAUCUUUAUUAGCACCAUCUGUUCAAUUGCACAGUGGUUAUGGUUUAUUUGACUAGAGGGCUCCGAAACUUUUUAUAUUAGAGGACCCAUAGUGUGAGGAGUGAUUUCUUGCGAAGAGCUGGUUCUCAUGUUGCAUGGGUUCUAAUUUUAAUAAGUGAGUGGAGAAUUAAAUCACCGACAUAAAUAAUCCUUAUAGUUGGUUCCCAUGCAGUCGUUUUCUGUAAUAUUCCCGAAAUACUUGAACAAGUUGGAAAGGCGGUGAAUUGUCUUGUUGUGUCAUCAAUAUGUUAUGUUCCCAUAUUAACAUCAAAUCCUCUUGCGGUGUGCACUUAUAGGACUCUCAUUUGGAGAAUAGUAUCUGUGCAAAGAUGGUGCUUUGUGUGGAAUGAAUUUAUUUUUCAACAUUUUCGAUAGAUAUAAAAUGUAUUUUUUGCAGAUUUCAGAUUAUAUCGGAUCUCGAGAAAAAUCGGUUUCCCAGUUAUUGCAACACGCCAUAAAUAAUGAAACCAAUAAAAUAAUCUAAACAACUAGCGGAUGUCGGACGUCGGUUAAGUCGGGGUUUCCUGGCUUUAAACAAAUUCUCAAGGGACACUGUUCUACAACACCGAUAACACACUGUCGCGUAGCUCUCACAUUUGGUAUUCCAUUUUUUGUGAUCUUCAAAGUUAUAUUUUCCCUGGCACAAGUAAGUACGACUCUUGUCAUAUUAUCAACAGUGAUAAAACGAUAAAAGAAUGGCCACCAUUCAAACUCAGCAACAUGCAAAUCAGAAGUGACCACAACCAGGCACCCGGCUCCCACACUUUAUAUUCGUUUCCUCCACUUUUUUGCUCUUUUUUUGAACACAAGCACUUGACUUAGUUUGAACAUGGAGAGUUUGAAUAUAUGUAAUUGAAUAGU
ensembl:lincRNA linc-113 ncRNA